rnacentral:SRP_RNA from 1 species
GCCGAGCUAGGUAGCGCUAGCUUGUAACCCUAGCCGGAGCAUUAAGGUGAUGGAAUUUGCACUGGAUGACCCAUUGCUGUUAUCCCAUCAACUAU